AGCAGCCGCGGUAAUUCCAGCUCCAAUAGCGUAUAUUAAAGUUGUUGCAGUUAAAAAGCUCGUAGUUGAAUUUCGGGAUCAAUUUAUCGGUCGCGCCUAUGGUAUGAACUGGUACAAUUGGUUUCUCCCUUCUGACGAAGCAUGAUGUCAUUAAUUUGGUGUCGUGGGGAAUCAGGACUGUUACUUUGAAAAAUUAGAGUGUUUAAAGCAAGCAUUAGCUUGAAUACAUUAGCAUGGAAUAAUGAAAUAGGACGUUUGAUCCUAUUUCGUUGGUUUCUAGGAUCGACGUAAUGAUUAAUAGGGAUAGUUGGGGGCAUUAGUAUUCAAUUGUCAGAGGUGAAAUUCUUGGAUUUAUUGAAGACUAACUACUGCGAAAGCAUUUG
rnacentral:rRNA from 1 species